rnacentral:rRNA from 1 species
UACAGAAGCCAGCUCUUUGCAACUCUUACAUGGUCGCCCAGUGAAGCUGCGCCUGGUCAGUACCUGGAUGGGGGACCACAUCGGAAAGCUGGGUUGCUUCUGGAA